CUCAACUGAAGGAUCGGUGAAGGUGAAGAAGAACACAAGAAAACCAUUCAAAGCUCCAAGAGGGAAGACAGAAGCUGUGGAGCAAGAACCCAUCCUCAGAAGAAGUCCAAGAGAAAAGAAUGUUAUCUCAACUGCUGGAUCAAUAACCACCAGUUGAAAUCACAUUUAGAAUUGGGUUUAGCUAGGGCUUUGUGAUUUUUUUAUUUUUUUAUUUUGGAUGAUAGUUGAUCAUGACAAAAUAAUGAUGGUUUUUUGAACAUGAAUCAUUUUAACAACAGCUACUGAUGUUGCACUACAGUUUUUA
rnacentral:lncRNA from 1 species